AUGUUCGAGUAUCUAAAUGUUGUCAGCAAGAUGUUUGAUAGUGAGGCUGAAGGCUAUGAAUUCUACAACAAAUAUGCUCUUGAAAAAGGUUUUAGUGUGAGGAGAAGCUACGUUGAGUGGGAUGGAUCCAACAAAUACAUAAUUUUAAGGAAAAUUGUGUGUAGUCGUCAAGGGUUUCGCGAAGAGAAGCACAUGAAAAGAAAGAUGGAAGAUAGAAAGAGGAGGCCACGAAGUUUAACUCGUGUUGGGUGCAAUGCUAAAUUGGUCAUUACGAGACAGGAGGAAACCGGUCGGUGGUUUGUCAAGGAUUUCAUCGAUGAGCACAGCCAUCCUCUAGCCCCACGGGAUCUUUCUUGUCUGCUGCGUUCGCACAGACGAAUUAGCGAUGAGCAGAAAGCGGACAUUGCGGACAUGGAAAAAUGUGGGAUCCGCAAAUACCGUAUUAUGGAUAUUUUGUGCUUUCAAUACGGUGGAUUUGAUAAGGUUGGAUGCAUAAAGAGGGACAUUUAUAAUUUCUGCCAUGCUAAUAAGCAGGAGACAAUCAGUGCCGGUGAUGCUAAUACGGUGAUCAUGCACAUGAUGGCGAGGCGAGAGCGAGAUGUGGAUUUUUUCUUCAAGUACUUGGUAGACGAGCAUGGCCAUCUGAAGGGACUGUUCUGGGCUGAUAGUCAAUCGCGACUUGACUACGAGGCUUUCGGAGACGUCAUUGUUUUCGAUAGCACAUACAGAACCAACAAAUACAAUCUGCCAUUCGUGCCGUUUGUCGGGUUGAAUCACCACCGCAGCACUGUUAUUUUUGGCUGUGGUAUAAUUUCUCAUGAAACAGGCCAGGCAUACGAGUGGAUGUUGCGGACCUUUUCUGAUUGCAUGGCACAGAAGCAUCCGAUAUCUGUGAUCACAGAUGGGGACCUUGCAAUGCAGAGAGCAAUCAGGGUGGUCUGGCCAGACUCAAACCAUAGACUAUGUAUAUGGCACAUUCAGCAGAACAUUGUACGCCAUCUGCAUGAUGACGACGUAAAGGAGGAAUUCAGAUCUUUCAUUUAUGAUACUUCUUUCAUUGAAGAGCAUGAGAUAGAAUGGAUACACUUCUUACAACGGAAUAAAGUAACCAGUGAGGAGUCUUGGCUGCAUCAGAUGUAUCAGAUGAGAAAGUUGUGGUGUGCUCCAUAUCUUGAGGGGCGUUGUUUCCUAGGAUUGAGCAGCAAUCAGAGGAGUGAGAGCUUGAACUCUGUGCUACAUACGCAUCUUGAGGGUAAGAUGUCGUUGUUUGAAAUGCUAGAGCACUAUGAGCGUUGCCUUGCGUCGCGACGGAUUAACGAAGCUCUCCAAGACGUCGAAGCCUUGCAGUCCGUUCCAUUUACAGAGGAAAAUGCUUCGCCGCUUGAGAAACACGCCGCAACAGUUUUCACACCUAGUGUCUUUAAGAUGGUCUUAUGGAGCAUAGAUGCUGUCAGCAAAUGUCAGAUCAGAGAGAUACUAGAUGGAUCAGAAGAUUCCACUUAUGUUGUGUCCAAGCAGGAAAGAAUGGAUAAAAAGUUUGGAGUGCGCAUUGAAGAGCAAGGAGGUCUUUUGCACAGGGUGAGUUGUUCUUGCCGUAAGCUGGAAUGCGCAGGCACACCAUGUUCCCACAUUUUUUACAUAUUGGGGAUUUUAAAACAAACAAUUCUGCCCAGUUGUUGCGUUCUCACUAGGUGGACUAUGAAUGCAAAAUGUGCAUACGCACCUACCCAAAAAAACCAGAUGUAUGACUAUUCGGUAAGCCUGCAGAGGUAUCGCGAGUUGCGGAAUUGUAGUCACGCCGCAAGUUUCAAGGCAUGCCACUCUGAUGAGGACUAUCACCGUCUAAAGAUGCUUUUGGAAGCACAACAUCAUGGCAAGCAAUCAAGUUUUGAACAAGCUGACAGCAAGGAGUCAACUAAUGCUCAGCAUAACAGCAUUAGGUUUGGCCCGUUGAUGCCGCACUCGGAGAAAGUUGAUAAGGUUCUGGAUCCCGUGCAUGUGCCAGGCCGAGGUACACCGAAGAAAAGGCUGCAGGCAAAGACAAAGAAGUCAAGAUCACAGAAUAUGUGUGGCUAUUGCAAGAAUCCUGGUCACAAUCGACGUAAAUGC
rnacentral:rRNA from 1 species